GGAAGGUUCGCAUAAUGGUAGUGCACCGGAUUGCUAAUCCGGCGAUCUCGAAAGAGGUUAUGUGAGUUCGAUCCUCGCACCUUCCGCCA
rnacentral:tRNA from 1 species